CGCGGCCCGGGUUGUUGAAGUCACCGGCGGGCGGACGGGAAUUACCGCUGAGCCUGGCAGGAUGGACGCAGCGCGGUGUAAGAGCGGCUUCAUCUCUCCAGCACAUCACACGGCGCGUUUUGAGCGAGAGAAGACGGUUUGCCGCACGCUUCACGCAGCAGCCGCCAUCGUCACCACCCCCGCCUCUCCAUGGGAGCCUGUCCCAGGGCCACGUGUACAGCACUCGCAUCCUCGCCGUGGCCUGGUCAGGCCCAGCGGUGGUGGGCAAGCCGUGCAUGGCGACACACACGGGUGGACAAAUCGGCAAAGUAGACGACAAUGAACUUCUAGCGAUUGAUGGUGUGAGUACUUUAUGUGCGUCAUGUCCACAGUACGGUAUAUUACAGGUCAAUUGUCGGUGAAGGUUUGUGGGUGGACGGCGUCGCCCGUUGAGAUCCACGUGAAUGGAUCUCGGAGCUGGUGAUGUGGGCCCCUGCUGGUCUCCACGUCAAGCGCUGUCUCGUCUACCGGUGCCCUGCGACUCUGCGGACACCCUCACUCACGGUCAGGUUUAGCCAGGCAGCAUGCAGGGCCAUUGGAAGUGCAUAUACAGCGUUGUACAAAGAAAUCUGCUGCUAAUUAAAUUAUAUACAUAUGUACAAAAUAUAAUAAUUUACUCAUUUCUGUGUAAUGUUAAACAUUGUUUUGACAACUCGCUAUCUAGAACAACGAAUAUUCAUAGUGCUUUUUAAAGGAAUAUAGCAGCUGCCUUGAUACUUUUUUGAAAAAUAAAUGUUCUCCACGAGCAGCACACGACGCGCUAGACAGAGGUAGGGCAGUGCGGGGACCUGGCACGCAACGUCGAAUAGAAGCCGACACAGGGCCCAGUCGCACAUUGCGGGGCCCACACUCGUCUCACGAGUGCACCACGAAUCCACGACACACACACACGUGUACACACACACGUGUACACACACACGUGUACACACACACGUGUACACACACACGUGUACACACACACGUGUACACACACACGUGUACACACGCACGUGUACACACGCACGUGUACACACGCACACAACGCGCACACACGUCUACACACACACACAACGCGCACACACGUCUACACACACACACAACUCUGCAGCUCCGCACGCCGUUCUUCUCGAUGGACACUGCACGUGUACACACACACGUGUACACACGCACACACGUGUACACACACACACACGUGUACACACGGCGCGCAGGCAACAGGCACUGUACGCCUACGCAUCGGACACGGUUCGCGGCGCACGUGAGAGGCUUCACAGGGAAACUGUUUCGCACAAAGCCACAAGGCACCGCGCACCGUGCCACGCCAAGGCGCACGCCGCGUUUAGCACCCGGUGGUGGUGGUCGUCUCACUCUGGAGAAGACCCCGGCGCGAGCCACGGCGUGUCCGCAUGUGUACCACGGAGUACGAACCAAACACAUCCAAUCACACGAUCCAAAUACCAUCCAAACAUAUCGCUUCCGUAAG